GACGAACGCUGGCGGCGUGCUUAACACAUGCAAGUCGAACGAAGAGCGAUGGACGCUUGCUUCUAUCAAUCUUAGUGGCGAACGGGUGAGUAACGCGUAAUCAACCUGCCCUUCAGAGGGGGACAACAGUUGGAAACGACUGCUAAUACCGCAUACGAUCUAAUCUCGGCAUCGAGGAUAGAUGAAAGGUGGCCUCUACAUGUAAGCUAUCACUGAAGGAGGGGAUUGCGUCUGAUUAGCUAGUUGGGGGGGUAACGGCCCACCAAGGCGAUGAUCAGUAGCCGGUCGGAGAGGAUGAACGGCCACAUUGGGACGGAGACACGGCCCAGACUCCUACGGGAGGCAGCAGGGGGGAAUCUUCCGGAAUGGACGAAAGUCUGACGGAGCAACGCCGCGUGAGUGAUGACGGCCUUCGGGUUGUAAAGCUCUGUUAAUCGGGACGAAAGGCCUUCUUGCGAAUAGUGAGAAGGAUUGACGGUACCGGAAGAGAAAGCCACGGCUAACUACGUG
rnacentral:rRNA from 1 species